rnacentral:ncRNA from 2 species
UAAUAGCCCUGAUGGGAAUGGCAUCCUCCCAACUUGAUUGGGAGAUAGAAUGGACAGCAGGAAAAAGG